GCCGUUUCCUCCAAGAGACUCAAAUGUGCAGCUUAUUCCCGAAUAUCUCAGCGACCAGGAUGUACGUUUCUAGCAUGGCUCGCUCCGACAACAUAAUUUAACGAGAGGCGUAAACCCGAAUGAUGACGUUGGAGGGGUCAGCGGCUGGAAUCAACCUUCCCCCCCGAGAUUCCCCCAAAGAUGCAACCCUGAAGCCGCCCACCAGAAAGUCACUUUUCAAAGAUCAAGACAGCGUUCAACACAAGAGCA